ensembl:lncRNA
AUGCGCCCGCCGGGUUCGGGUUUGCGCCUCCGAACUAGGUCCUCUUUGUUUCCCUCAAAAGUACACCCACAUUCGCCGCCAAAGUGCGGACGGGGAGUCUCAUUUGAAGGCAGAGGAGACUUAAAAGGGGUGGCGGGAGGCUGUCUGGGGAGUCGGCUGUUCGUGUGUGUUGGUGCCGAGAGAGGCGGAGUCGGAGGCAGAGAGCAGGAGAUCAGAGGUCGGCCAGUGCGGGACGGCGGCCCCCAGGAACCGCAGAGUGCCCGGAAGACUGAGAUAAAUCCUUUGGGAAACAAAGAGCAUGCCAAUGUCAGGACAGCCCUGUGCAGGAUGUCUGAGUCUGCUGUUUCAGAGUAAAGCGCUGACAAGAGUGCUUCUCACCGCACAAAUUGUCCUCAUUUCACAGCUUACUUAAGCAGCUAGGUUUUUAUUUCAUUUGUUUUUGUAUUUUUAAUUGUAGCAUUAGCUUUUAAUUUUCAUUCAAUUACACAGUGUUUUUGUUUUAGUCAUUAACUUAAUGAAGCCUGUAAGCUGUGUGCCCAAUUCUACUCACAGACCAAAAUGUUACCACUUGUCUGUUGCUAUUUUUGAAAUUGAAGCAGAAGAGAACGUAAAUGAGAUGCAGUUGUAGUCGUGACAUUUCUGUACAGGCUCAACCAACUUCCACGCUGAAUUGUCCUCAGGCUGGUCUGUUGAAGCCACUUUAGGUUGAAUUGGAUUCGAAAGAGGCAGGGACAGGACUGGAAGGACAGGAGCUUUUACCUAUCAAACCUUUCCUCUUUAUCGUGGAACUGCAGCUGUAUGCAGACGGAGAGGCUCUCUUUAAACAAAACCCUCCUUUUGAUAUCACGCUGUCCUGGAGGCAUGCGAUUGGGCGAGUCCCAAUAUCUUCCUCAGCUCACUUUAUAUUCGUUCAGAGUGCCUUAUCAAGUCUGAGCCGAGUGCAGACUUCUGGAAAGGGUCUUGGCAUGUCAGUUGUCGCUUUUAAAACUGUGUCAAAGAUUCUGGCUUGAUAUUUUCUGUGGGGGCCUGUUGUCCUCGUAUCCCCAUAUUGUUGCCUGCAGGGCCGUAUUCAAUCUGUAAUGAUGAGUCCUGAUGUGUGUGUGUGUGUGUGUGUGUGUGUGUGUGUGUGUGUGUGUGUGUGUGUGUGUGUGUGAGAGAGAGUGUGCGUGUGUGUGUGUGAGAGAGUGUGCGUGUGUGUGUGCGUGUGUGUGUGUGUGUUCUGCACUUGCCAGAUAUCCAUAAUUUAAUGAUCCACAGAGCUAACCAAAAGCAGGCACAGGAAUCUCAGCAGGAAUCUCAAAAACAAUCCACAAUCACAAAGCUAAAUAUUUGUUGAUUUGAAAGAUUUGGCACUCUCUUUAUAGCCUUUUAUUUUGCUCCUCUGGAAUUAUGAUAAACAUUAAUGCUGUUUUCCAGAUUAUACACCCAGAUAGUUGAACCAAAAUGCUGUUCCUUCUGUAUUUGUUGACGUUGGGUAUUUGCAAGCUUAACCCAUAAACAGUAGCUACACUACUGUUUGACGUACAGCAUUUUGAACACACCCAUCCGUUACUUUAAGCUAUCUAUAAACAGCUCAGACCUAAUUAGCCACUGGCCAGCAAAUGGACCCAUUAAGGGACAUUAAACGUUAAUAUGAAGGUUGUUAUUGGCCUAAUCACAGGAGAAACCCAAUUAGGGUCAAACUCUGGAAAAUGACUCUGACUCAGUGAGACGAUUCGGGUGGCAAAGAUUAAGAGAUCUGGACGACCUCAGAUGACUUUGCCUGUGGCAUUCAGAGACAGCGAGAGAGAUAGAGAUUUAGCUAGAGAUCUAGCCUGAGGUAAGGCGUGUACAAUGGGAGCGACACAAAAGGAGUUUGUGUGUGGGUUUCUUUUUUUCUUGGUCAGGAGAGAGGGACGGCGCUCACAGAGUAGAGCGGAAGCCGGUGGCAAGAAGACUAUGCUAGGUGGAAGAGGGAGGUGUGAGUGAAUUUGGAAAAGAAGAAAAGAGGCAAAAAUACAGGGAAAUGUUGCAGCAGGUGCGUACGUGACAUAUUUGCAUAAAAUCCUCAGUAUUUGCAGAUAUUACAAAAUAUUUCAGGCAAGUAUCAGCGGGAAUGCUCUUGCUGUCAAUGAGCAUUCAGCUAAUAUUUGCUUAAAUUAGCAAGAGCUUUAGCAUGAUGUGUUUUUAUUGUGUGGAGCUGCUGUCAGGGUCACAGUAAAAUGCCAAGGUCUCUAUGGUGGUGUCAAUUUUUUUUUUGAAAUCUACCGCUACUGCUCCUAAUUAACAGCAUGUCAACGUGAAGGUCAGGAAGAGGACGAGGUAAUGAGUUCUGCAAAUAUUUCUGCUGGUCCAUUAAAGUGCCUCAGUGGGGAGCAGUCAUUUCCAAACCAUGCUGCAUGCGAACGCAAAAUUCUGAAACUUCACCCGUUUCUGUUAAACCAAAGUUCUGGUGACAUCAGGCGAGCAUCAAACAGGCGUUCUACUAGUAAAGUGAGGACAUUUAUGGGA